rnacentral:rRNA from 1 species
UACGAAGGGGGCUAGCGUUGUUCGGAAUUACUGGGCGUAAAGCGUGCGUAGGCGGCUAUUUAAGUCAGGGGUGAAAUCCCAGGGCUCAACCCUGGAACUGCCUUUGAUACUGGGUAUCUGGAGUUCGGGAGAGGUAAGUGGAACUCCGAGUGUAGAGGUGAAAUUCGUAGAUAUUCGGAAGAACACCAGUGGCGAAGGCGGCUCACUGGUCCGGUACUGACGCUGAGGUGCGAAAGCGUGGGGAGCAAACAGG